ACGCUCGACACCUACGGGGGGCAGCAGUGGGGAAUAUUGCACAAUGGGGGAAACCCUGAUGCAGCGACGCCGCGUGAGCGAAGAAGUAUUUCGGUAUGUAAAGCUCUAUCAGCAGGGAAGAAACUGACGGUACCUGACUAAGAAGCACCGGCUAAAUACGUGCCAGCAGCCGUGGUAAUCUGAGCGGCUGGCAAGGC
rnacentral:rRNA from 1 species